GCUCUUACCUUGUUGUAACGCUCAAACGCGAAUUCGGAAUAAGAUCUACUUUGCUCUCUUUUCGAUUUCUUAUACUUUAUCGUUGUUAUUCUUGUGUUCUGAUUGCUUGGCGUGUGGUAUUAGCAGAUAUCCGGGACCUCUGGGAAAUAUAAGGUUUUCCUAGUUUCCUUAUUUAAACGGAAAUCGACAGUGCGAAUUUCGGUUCCCACAUACGGCAUCCAUGUGAUGAAACCAAUAUCUCACAGCCACCUAGAAAGUUAAGGAUGACAAAAACUAGUUAACAGCAACAUCUAAACAGGCAUAUCCUACCCCCCCAAAAGGCAUCCAUCAAGAAACAUAAGAGGAUAGUGAUUCAGUCACAGUGAUCACAAAGUAGUAGUACCGAAAUUCAAGCAUUUGGAGACAAAGAUGAAUCAAUUGACGAGAAACGAAUGAGAAGGGGGUCUGAACAACCAAAAGCAGUAACUAAAACCUUGGCUCUAAGAUGACCAGCUGGGCUGCUGAAUUCAGGAAAAACAUGUUGCACUAGCAUAUUCUCCAGCUCGGAUUUGUAGGGUUCAGUUUGCCUAAGUUUAUCACAAAGUGUCCCAACAGCAAGUAGAGCACCAUCCUUUUGGCGAUAGGGCUUCUGUUCUAGAGGUGCUUCACCAUAUCUAAUCCAGAGAAACAAAGUAAUUAUAUCAUGUCGCAAUUGUAUAAUUAGAUCCUUCUCUAUAUUUGUAGUUACAGCUUGAGGGUACCUAUUAAAUAUGCCCACGAUGAACUGUAUGAAUUUGGGGAAGUGUCUUUUCCACGCUUUCUGACCAGCUCAGUCACAAAGUCCAAAGAUGCAGUCCUGGGACUGUACAGAUCUUCAAUUA